rnacentral:rRNA from 2 species
UGCAAGUCGAGCGGACAGAUGGGAGCUUGCUCCCUGAUGUUAGCGGCGGACGGGUGAGUAACACGUGGGUAACCUGCCUGUAAGACUGGGAUAACUCCGGGAAACCGGGGCUAAUACCGGAUGGUUGUUUGAACCGCAUGGUUCAGACAUAAAAGGUGGCUUCGGCUACCACUUACAGAUGGACCCGCGGCGCAUUAGCUAGUUGGUGAGGUAACGGCUCACCAAGGCAACGAUGCGUAGCCGACCUGAGAGGGUGAUCGGCCACACUGGGACUGAGACACGGCCCAGACUCCUACGGGAGGCAGCAGUAGGGAAUCUUCCGCAAUGGACGAAAGUCUGACGGAGCAACGCCGCGUGAGUGAUGAAGGUUUUCGGAUCGUAAAGCUCUGUUGUUAGGGAAGAACAAGUGCCGUUCAAAUAGGGCGGCACCUUGACGGUACCUAACCAGAAAGCCACGGCUAACUACGUGCCAGCAGCCGCGGUAAUACGUAGGUGGCAAGCGUUGUCCGGAAUUAUUGGGCGUAAAGGGCUCGCAGGCGGUUUCUUAAGUCUGAUGUGAAAGCCCCCGGCUCAACCGGGGAGGGUCAUUGGAAACUGGGGAACUUGAGUGCAGAAGAGGAGAGUGGAAUUCCACGUGUAGCGGUGAAAUGCGUAGAGAUGUGGAGGAACACCAGUGGCGAAGGCGACUCUCUGGUCUGUAACUGACGCUGAGGAGCGAAAGCGUGGGGAGCGAACAGGAUUAGAUACCCUGGUAGUCCACGCCGUAAACGAUGAGUGCUAAGUGUU